rnacentral:rRNA from 1 species
UGGGGAAUAUUGGACAAUGGGGGGAACCCUGAUCCAGCCAUGCCGCGUGUGUGAAGAAGGCCUUAUGGUUGUAAAGCACUUUAAGCGAGGAGGAGGGUACUGGUAUUAAUACUACCAGGUACUGGACGUUACUCGCAGAAUAAGCACCGGCUAACUCUGUGCCAGCAGCCGCGGUAAUACAGAGGGUGCGAGCGUUAAUCGGAUUUACUGGGCGUAAAGCGUGCGUAGGCGGCUAAUUGAGUCGGAUGUGAAAUCCCCGAGCUUAACUUGGGAAUUGCAUUCGGUACUGGUUAGCUAGAGUGUGGGAGAGGGUGGUAGAAUGCCAGGUGUAGCGGUGAAAUGCGUAGGGAGCUGGAGGAAUACCGAUGGCGAAGGCAGCCAUCUGGCCUGACACUGACGCUGAGGUAGGAAAGCAUGGGGAGCAAACAGG